UACGAAGGGGGCUAGCGUUGCUCGGAGUCACUGGGCGUAAAGGGUGCGUAGGCGGGUUUUUAAGUCAGGGGUGAAAUCCUGGAGCUCAACUCCAGAACUGCCUUUGAUACUGAAGAUCUUGAGUCCGGGAGAGGUGAGUGGAACUGCGAGUGUAGAGGUGAAAUUCGUAGAUAUUCGCAAGAACACCAGUGGCGAAGGCGGCUCACUGGCCCGGUACUGACGCUGAGGCACGAAAGCGUGGGGAGCAAACAGG
rnacentral:rRNA from 1 species